UAACUGUGUGCAGGUGAAACACACAGGAGGCUAGAGGAAGAAACAGUUGACUUUGCAAACCAGAGUCUGAAGAAGGCUACGGUAGGUCAGAACAGACACAGUUAUACCCGUGAUGCGAGAGUUGCUUCUUCAGUGACUUGCCUGUCCUUUCCCACCAAUGCCCUUUGUGACAAUUCUUUUGUACAAGUCAUCAAAGAAGCUAUCUCCAGGCGUCACACUUACCAGUGUGGCCAGGAGCCAUCAGCCUGCUCACUCCUCUUCAUGCCUGCCGCCUUCUCUCUUCCCUAUGCCUGGCUUUGCUGGCUGCAUUGCUUCAUUCUGAUGACACAUCCUGAAGCUUCCACGGUGGAGACAAUGUGAGGCAGGCAAAGAAUGGUGCAGGGUCUGUAAAGCAGGAUUUCAGAGAGUCUCAGAAGUUUAUGCGUGUACAAGCCAUUACGGCUAACAGGGAUACCCAUGGAUGUGGUGUGUCAUCUACCCAGCCCCACCUGAAGCUUUGGAGAAGCCUGCAGGUGUGGCUAGAGCUUCUCGAGCCACCCAAGAGGAGCAGUCAGCUCAUAGGUGGGUUUGGGCAGGCGAGGCUCACCACAACAAACCCCGGCUGUGGCGGCAGACACAGGGGAUGAGGAGGGAUGAACAAGGUUGGGAGUCUGCUAGGGAGCCAUGGGGAAAAGUUGCGCAGUGUCAUGAGAAGGGGGGACUAGUCUGGCAUCUCUGCAAGGUGUUGGGUGGCUUUCUUAAGGUCCUUGUGAUUGAAAACUGAGGUCUGCCCCUAAAGAACCGUCUCCCAUUGCUCUCUUCAGGCAGCACUGCCAGAGGUUCUGCUUGCCAAUGCUCGCUAGUGACACUGGAAGCAGGCUGGACUUCCUUGUGAGAGCUGGUGUGCUGGUGAGGCUGCACUUGGGAGCCAGGUAAGUGCCAGUGGCACCUCACUCCUCAGCUGCUGCUAAUGUGUUUCUCGUUCACUCCACAUUGGUCUGCACCAAGGGAUCCUGCAGCCUGGAGUCAGCUGGGGUGACUGGCGGUGAACGCUUCAGACAGGCAGUGCUGCAACAGUGGGUGCAAUUGUGUAAGUAAGUUGAUAUUGCUGAAAGGGUUUCCCAAUUAACUUAAUAGCCCUCAGUUACCGCUAACCUGUGUGUGGUUCACUGUAUACACAGCCCUGCAGUCUUUGAGGUUUCUGAGAAAAUCCUCCAAGGCUGUGUGAUCUCCCUGAAAAUAAGGGACAGAAGUUACUUGGAAGCCAAGAGCUGUCGGUUCUAUGAAAACAUCGGCUUAGGCAGACACCCGUGGGCUUGUCUUUAACGUACCUUGGCACUGUCCGUGAGUCUUUCACUCAAACUAGAGGCAAGGCUUAAUGCGUCGGAAUAAUCCAGCUGAGAUGGCUGAUAGAGCACAUGAGACUUCGUAGCUGUACGUGCCCACUGUGCCUCUGCUGUUCAGAUCAGGGCCUGAAUGAAGGAAAAAGUGUUUGACAAGUUCCCCCUUCCCUUCUUCCCUCAUCCCUUUCCCUUCUUCCCAAAAAUAUAUUGUCUGUUUAGCCUGUAGGUAGGCCAAAAGCGAGGUGCAGGUAUGCGAGGAAGGAAUGGAGGGGUACACCCACCAGUUUUCUUCUUUUCUCUUGCCUGAGGCAAUGCCACAUGCAGCCUGUUGUGCGAGAGGUGACAAGGCUGACCUUUGAGGGGAUGUGUUGAGGAGGUGUGUUGGUGCCACGCAGUGUGUGAGAAAUGGGCCCGAAGGGGCAGUCCUUCCAGCACGUGGCCCCAGGCAGGGCUCAGUGUUUUGUCCCCUGCAGAGAAACUGGGAGCAGGCAGUGGCAGCAGCUGAGGGAAUCUAGGGUAAGAGAGAGGGCACUAUGGAUGUGUCGUAACAGUGCUCAGUGUGCCGAAAAUCGUCUCUGCCAAGGAACUGUCGGUCCUUCACAGUGCAGGGUACUGUGACUUCUGAUAACUUACUCGGAGACUGAUGUUUAGGGUUUGUGACUGCCGGGAUCACAAACAAAAGCAGGGAAAGGAAAAAGGAAAGGGAUCACCCUCUCUUGCCUCUCACAUGGGAAGUACGUUGUGCUGAAAGGACAAUGGGAGAAGCAUUAAGAGUAUGUGAGGGCGGGAGCAGGGCAAGGAGCUGCUGGAGACAGAAGAGAGCACAGGCUGGACUAUCAGCAGUCUCCACAGGAAUGGCCAGCCUCUAAGUUUGCGGGUCCUCAAUCCAGAGUUUGCAUUGGCUUCUCCCUACCCCCAGCCAGGAAAAGUAAGAAAACUCGUGCUGCAAUGCAAUAUCCCAAGCUUGAUCAGAAAAAAACCCAAAGAAGGCACUGUUCAUAGUGUGUAUGCAGAGGAAUCUAUGGUCUUUAUUCUAUAGACACUGAGGUGGG